rnacentral:lncRNA from 1 species
UUAUGUUUUGCACUUAUUCUGUUACUAUUUUUAUUUCCUGCAAUAUAGGCUUAUAUUUUUUCAAAUACUUGCCAUUUAUUCUUAGGAUUCUCUUAUCCUUCUCUAUUUCUUCUAUUUCAUAUGCGCCGUUUGAGAAUGUUCUCAAAACCUGGAAAGGUCCUUCCCAUUUAGGAGACCACUUUCCCAUUAAUUUAUCUUUUCGAUCCAUAGGAAGGAUUACUUUCCACACAAG